UACGUAGGGGGCAAGCGUUGUCCGGAUUUAUUGGGCGUAAAGAGCUCGUAGGCGGCUUGGCAAGUCGGGUGUGAAAACUUCAGGCUCAACCUGGAGCGGCCACUCGAUACUGCUAUGGCUUGAGUCCGGUAGGGGACCACGGAAUUCCUGGUGUAGCGGUGAAAUGCGCAGAUAUCAGGAGGAACACCAGUGGCGAAGGCGGUGGUCUGGGCCGGAACUGACGCUGAGGAGCGAAAGCGUGGGUAGCAAACAGG
rnacentral:rRNA from 2 species